rnacentral:rRNA from 1 species
ACUUCGAGCAGGGUGAUGGCGUACUUUUUGUAGAACGGACCGGCGAGUUACAUCCGGCGUGCGAGGAUAAGGCUGACGAGGCCGCAUCCGUAGCGAAAGCAAGUCUUAAAAGGGCGAGAUAGUACGCCGGAGUAGACCCGAAACCGGGUGAUCUACCCAUGUCCAGAGUGAAGCGGGAGUAACAUUUCGUGGAGGCUCGAACCAACCGUCGUUGAAAAGGCGGUGGAUGAGGUGUGGGUAGUGGUGAAAUGCCAA